AACGAUGUUUAUAAACUUUAUGAUAGGUUUAACUAUAACAUAAGGGAGUGAUUUUAUAAUUUGCAUUUAAUUAGUUUUUCAUCUGUUUGGGAGAUCACAAAAUAAAUAAAAAAACACUUCAUUAAUUUCGUGGACAAAGUCUGUCAUGUUUCCAUUUAGUGACCACAAAGCAAAUAUUUGUGACAAAAUGCCAUAUUUGGAACACUGCCUAACUGCGUAUUGUGAACGGGUCCCCGGAAAAGUGUUAUGACAAAUGUUUUUUUUUUUUGGUUAGGUACUACAAGAAAGACAUUGAAGAAGUUUCAACACCAGGAAAAAAGAGGAAAAAAAGGCCACAGGAAGGAAAGUCACUUGACACAGUCGACGAUUUCACAGUAAAUGCAAUCAGGAAUGCAAUUUACAGGAUGUACGCUGAAGGUUUGAAUGUUACAGUCGACACCAUUUUGAAAGAAAUCAGGGAAAGACAAAUAGAUUAUUAUGGUGGAAGAUCAAGUCUUCAUAAAUUGUUAAAGAAGAUGGGAUUUUCAUGGACAACUGUUGAUGGACGAAAAGCUUUGAUAGAGAAUGAAAACAUAGUAUUGAAGCGAAUAGAUUUCUUGAGAAAGUAUAAAGAAGAAAAAGAAAGAGGUGCCAAUUUCAUAUUUGUUGAUGAAACAUGGAUUUUCCAGAGAGGCAAGGCAUUAAUUUAUUUGAAAAUUUGUUCUGUGGUCCAAUACAAAGUAUUUCAUUUCCAUUUCAUAUAUUUUUCAGGAACUGUAUCAAAGUCAUGGCAGGACAAGAGUCUACAAUCUGCGAAGAGACGUACUGUUGGAGAUGGUAAAAGGUUUAUUGUUGUUAAUGCUGGAGGGCGCACUGGCUUUGUGCCAGGAGCAGGAUUACUUUUUGUUUCAGGUCAGAAGACUGCAGACUACCAUGGCGAGAUGAAUGGGGAAACUUUCUUGAUGUGGUUUGAAGACAUGUUGGUGCAUCUGGAGGAACCCAGUGUCAUUAUAAUGGACAAUGCUUCAUAUCACAGCACCCAGGUUGAGAAAACACCUACAACGAACUGGACCAAGGAUGCACUGAUCGCGUGGCUGGAGAAGAAUGAGAUAAAACAUGAAAAUAAUUUGUUGAAAGUGGAGCUGCUGAGAAUAGCUAAACAAAACAAGCCCCGAAUACGGUAUAUUAUUUCGUUUUUUUUACAGCAUUUCUUUAAAAGUGAGAUAGUUGCAAAAAAUUACGUAUACGCCUUGUUCUAACACACUUUUCAGAUAUGAGGUAGACGAGUUGGCUUGUAACUAUGGCCACAAAAUUCUACGACUCCCACCCUAUCACUGCCACUAUAAUGCAAUCGAACUAGUUUGGGCUCAAUGUAAACACCAUUACAAUAGUAACGUGGGGCGGGCCAAGAGAUUUGACAAUGAUGCAGUUGCAGCCAUCUGGAAAGAGGCUCUUGAUGCUUCCACACCAGAGAGAUGGGCGAGGUGUGUGGAUCACGUGGAGAAGCUAAUUCAAGCAGACUGGGAGAGAGAAGUCCACAUAGACAGCGGCACCAUUCCUCCACUCAUCAUCCACCUCGGCGAGGAUAGUUCAAGUGAAGACAGUGACAGCGAAGAAUUUGAGGUUACGACACAGCAAGUAGAUGGAGACAGUGAAGUACUGGCAGUUCCUCUUGAUGAUUUACCCGGGUGUUCUUAUUGAGGUCUGUAUGUAAUAAACACCUGGGCAACUGUAAGUAUUGGGGUUUGAAACAUUUUUUUUUCUUUUAUGCAUUCCCAUUAAGUAUGUUGAUUACUGGAACUUUAUGUAUUAACUUUAUAUUACACAUAUUAUAAAAUUAAUAAUAAAUUUCAUUUCUGGAUUCGUAUAGGUGUAUGUGAAACAUUUUAUUUUGUUGUGUCUCUUCAUUUUUCAGUGAACUUACUUGGAAAACAAAAAGCCAGUCCCCAUCCAGGGCCACAAAUAAAUAAUGCAUAUAAGUGGUAUAGAAAUUACUGUCAAUUCUUUACCACAAUUUUACUGUUCAUAAAAUUAUGAUUUUGUCUAAUAAGUAUACUCAGGAAAAUGUAUAUAACCAUAUUUUUAUUUGUGGCCUUAACCGGCAAAAUGGUAGGGGUUUAUUAAAUAAAAGAAGAAAAUUCAUUUUUAAAUGUUUUCAUCUGAAUUUGUUAAUUUUAUUAAACCUUCAAUCCUUAGUCUUUUCCAGAUUGCUUAGAUGGAC